UGGUGUUGGAGGCGUUGACGAGCCCACUCUAAAUUUACUCUAAAUCUCACAAACUUUUAAGAGAAGAAAUUUGUUCUCUUAGAAAACUCAAUAACACACAAGAGAAGAAUGUUGUUCUCUUGAAACUCACUUACUUUCUAAAACUCAAUUUGCUUCUAUUGAUUUGAUCUUUUUAUCUUUUGUAUACAAAUGAAGGAAAUGAUCUCUAUAUAUAGUAUUCAAGAGACACUUCCUAAAAGACACAAAAUAAAUGAAGUACAUGAAUACAUACCAUUCAUGUACUUGAAUAAUUACAUGUAUCUAGAAAUGCAUAUGUAUCUUGAAACUAGAAAUGUAUCUAUUAAUGUGUUAUCCAUAAUGUAUCUAGCUUAUUAAUUUCUAACAUGCCCCCUUAAGCUAGACUUCCCAAACUCCGAGCUUCUCUUUCAUUUUCAAGAAUGAAUCUGUCUUUAAUGCUUUUGUGAAUACGUCUGCAACUUGAUCUUGAGUCUUGCAAUACUUGAUAUAUACUUCUCCAUCUUUGAUCAAUUCUCUGAUGAAAUGAUAUUUGAUGUUUAUGUGUUUGCUUCUUCCAUGAAAAACGGGAUUCUUCGAAAGUGAAAUAGAUGAUUGAUUGUCACAGAACAUGAUGGUCCCUUUCUCUUGAGGACACUUCAAUUCAUGUAGUACAUUUCUUAGCCAAAGUGCUUGACAACUAGCAACAGACAAAGAAAUGUAUUCAGCUUCUGUUGUGGACAAUGCUACAACAUCUUGCUUCUUUGAUGCCCAUGAAACAUUUUCAUCUUCUUUGGUGUAGAGAGCAUGUUCAUAUGGACAUCUUCUGAAACCAUCCUUUAAGAAAAAAUUGUCGAUGCGACUGUACCAAGCCCUUGGUGCUUGCUUUAGCCCAUACAAGGCUUUCUUUAAUCGACACACCUUAUUUUCUUCUCCAAUCUUUGCAUAACCGGGGGUUGCUCAACAUAUAUUUCAUCCUCUAAAUACCCAUUUAGGAAUGCUGACUUUACAUCCAUUUGAUGAACUUUCCAGUUAUUUUUUGCUGCAAGGGCUAACAACAAACGAACAGUCUCCAAGCGAGUUACCGGUGCAAAAACUUCUUCAUAAUCCACACCAAACUUUUGUUUGUAACCUUUUACAACGAGUCUGGCUUUGUAUUUUUGCACUUCUCCGUUUUGCUUUAGCUUUGUUCUAUAGAUCCAUUUGACUCCAAGAGCCUUUUUAUUUUCUGGUAAUUUUACUAACUCCCAUGUCUCGUUUCUUCUUAUUGCAUCAAUCUCUUGAUUCAUUGCAUCUUUCCAAUUUUCAUCUUGAAUUGCUUCUUCAAAGUAUACAGGAUCAACAUUUGCAAAUAAAGCAAAAUCAACAUGUUCUUCAUCUAGUAUCCUUCUUGAAGUAUUAUAGAUCUCUUGAAUAUUUCUGGUCUUCCUUGGAGUAGUUUCUUCAUCACUUGUGGAGUGUGAUGAAGAAGGUGAAGUCAGUGGUUGAGUUACUUCAAGCUCCAAGUCUCGAGCAUCUUUUUUUCCAUCCAUAUCAACAUGUAAUGGAUUUUGGUCUUCAUUUGGUGCAUUCCAUUGCCACAAUUUUGCUUCAUCAAACUUGACAUCUCGACUAAUAAUAACUUUCUUACUUAUCGGAUUGUAUAGUCUGUAGGCCUUAGAGUUCUCACUGUACCCAACAAAAAUGCAUUUCUCUGAUUUAUCAUCUAGCUUACCUCUUUUCUCAUCUGAAAUGUGAGAGUAAGCAAUGCACCCAAACACUCUUAGGUGACUAACGGUUGGUUUCAAUCCGCUCCAUGCUUCUUGAGGAGUAAUACCUUGCACACUUUUCGUUGAAGCUCUAUUUAGGAGAUAAACAGCACAAGUUACUGCUCUCCCCAAAAUUGAUCAGGAAGCUUCUUUGCCUUCAACAUACUUCUUGCAAGUUCCAUUAUUAUUCUAUUUUUCCUCUCUGCAACUCCGUUUUGUUGAGGAGUUCUUCGAACAGUCUUCUGAUGCUUGAUUCCAUUUUCCUUCAAGAAAUCUGCAAAAACAAUAUAUUCUCCUCCACGAUCCGAACGCAAUGAUUUCAAUUUCAAGUUACUUUCAUUUUCCACCAUUGCUUUGAAUGUCUUGAAACAUUCGAAAGUAGCACUCUUUUCUUUUAGUAGAUAAAUCCAUGUUUUUCGACUGUAGUCAUCAAUAAAUGUGAGAAAAUAACGGUUACCUCCAUGUGUAGUAGUUCUCAUAGGUCCACAUAAGUCUGUAUGAACAAGCUCGAGUGGUUUUGAUGCUCUCCAAGAACCUCCAGUCGGAAAUGAAUUUCGAUGAUGCUUUCCAAAACACAUGCUUCACAGAGUUGAUCUUCCUUUUUAAUAUUUGACAUUCCUCUCACCAUAUGUUGUUGACACAUGUGAGACAAAGUGUCAAAACUUAGGUGCCCAAAUCGACAAUGCCAUAACCAUGAGGUGUCAUUUACUAAAGUCUCAAAACAAACAAGCUUCUCAUAACAUAUUUUAAUUGGAAACAUUUUGUUGUGAGUCAUACGAACCUUCGUUAUGAGAUCUCCAUUCUUGGUUCUAAUCUCACAUAUGUUAUCUUUAAAAAUAACAUCAUGUCCUCUUAGGAGAAGUUGUCCAACACUUAAAAGAUUGUGUUUGAGACCUGAAACAUAAUACACAUCAGUAAUUUUUUUUGCUCCCAUUUUUGUCUUGACAAGAAUAUCUCCUUUUCCUUUGACUUCAAGCAUCUUGUUGUCACCAGUCUUCACUACAUUUUGAUGAGAUUCAUCUAAAGAUAUAAAAAUAUCCUUUCUUCCUGUCAUGUGGUUACUACAACCACUAUCAAGAUACCAUAUUUCUUCAGUGCUUGAUUCUUGAACAUUGUGAGUGAGGAAGAGAAGACCUUGAUCAUUAUUUGAUUGCUCAUGCAUUAGUGUGGUUUCUGCUUGAUUAGAAUUAGUCUUCUUAGACCAACAGUCUGCUUGAAAAUGUCCAUAACGUCUACAAUUGAAACAUUGUAUGUGAGAAAAAUCUCCACGACCACCACUUCUACCUCUUCCUCUAUUUGAACUUCUUCCUCGUCCUCUAUUUGAAAAAAAUUGAUUGUCUCUGCUUUCUGACUCUGUAUUUUCACAACGUUGGAUCGUCCAUUGCCUCUACCACCACGUCCACCUCUUCUUCCAUUGGAUCGACCUCUAUAGGAGGACUGCAUAUGAAAAGCUUCUUCUGAAGGAUUAGAAUCAAACAUCUUCAAUCUGAGCUCAUGAGAUUGAAGAGAUCCCAUUAAGCUAUUUAUAGAGAGAGUUGACAAAUCUUUGGAUUCUUCAAUUGCUACAACAAUAUGCUCAUAUCUUCUAGUCAUGCUUCUAAGAAUCUUCUCAACAAUCCUUUGAUCUUCAAUUGUUUCUCCAUUUGAUCUCAAUUGAUUAACAAUUAAGAGAACACGGUUGAAAAAUUCUUCAAUAGUUUCAGAAUCUUUCAUUCGAAUUGUAUCAAAUUCAGCUCGAAGUGUUUGUAAUCGGACCAAUUUUACCUUUUCUUCUCCUUCAUACAAAUUUUGCAAUGCAUCCCAUGCUGCUUUAGCAGUAGAGACUCCUGAUAUUCUUUCAAAAAUAUUUUCAUCCACAGAUUGGUAGAUGAAAAAUAAUGCCUUCUUAUCCUUUUUUCUAGCAUCUCUCAACUCAUUGAGUUGUUGUGCUGAAAGACCAUUCUCACUUUCUGGCUCUGAAUAUCCGAUGUCAACAAUAUCCCAAAGAUCUUGAGAUCCAUAAAGAACCUUCAUUUGCUGGCUCCACCGCCUAUAGUUUUUUCCCUCAAAACGAGGAAGUUGAGGCUGCAACAUGUUAGAUGACAUCUUUCAAUCCUUGCUCUGAUACCACUUUGUUGGAGGCGUUGACGAGCCCACUCUAAAUUUACUCUAAAUCUCACAAACUUUUAAGAGAAGAAAUUUGUUCUCUUAGAAAACUCAAUAACACACAAGAGAAGAAUGUUGUUCUCUUGAAACUCACUUACUUUCUAAAACUCAAUUUGCUUCUAUUGAUUUGAUUCUUUUAUCUUGUAUACAAAUGAAGGAAAUGAUCUCUAUAUAUAGUAUUCAAGAGACACUUCCUAAAAGACACAAAAUAAAUGAAGUACAUGAAUACAUACCAUUCA
rnacentral:lncRNA from 1 species